rnacentral:rRNA from 1 species
GCCCCUUAUGGACCUGGGCUACACACGUGCUACAAUGGUUGGUACAACGAGUUGCGAGUCGGUGACGGCGAGCUAAUCUCUUUAAAGCCAAUCUCAGUUCGGAUUGUAGGCUGCAACUCGCCUACAUGAAGUCGGAAUCGCUAGUAAUCGCGGAUCAGCACGCCGCGGUGAAUACGUUCCCGGGCCUU